AAUUGGAGUGAGCCUAUGUAGCCUGAUGGGUAUUUAGGUCUUUUUCUCUUCAAUUGGCUUCAAUUCUCUCUCUCUGCAAACGCUAUUUGCCGCUAUUUGCAGUGGAAGUGCUUUGGAGGGAAUCCUAGCUGCUGCGAUCUGAGAUUUGUGCGCUAUUCAUCGGGCUUUGAUUCGGAAGAAGGUACAAGAGUUCAAUUUAGAGGAAGCUCUAGUGGUUUAUCUUGCACCGCAAUUAAGAAUCGUGGGUACAACUUGUAAGAUUGGAGAAGAUAUUUAGAAGAGUGAAACUCCUGCAGGGGCAACUUUGUGAUGGGGUCUUGCUAGAUGGAACAAAAAAGGCAUUGUGGAAUGCUGAUAAUGGGGAUAUUAGGGGCAACUUCUGUGAUACAACACUGGGUUUUUUUUCCUUCCUAUUUUUUACCUUUCCCAUACCUUUUGGCGUCCAUAGGGAGGAUCUGAAGCCAAGGACCAGGAUACAAAGCGCACACCAUCGCUGGUUCCUCAGUGCUUGCCUGGCUUGGUACCACAAGACCGGGGAAGUCACAGCACGUUCACCGUGUCCGAGAGAGAUGUGCAUCUCCCUUCACCGGUUGUCGAGCUUAUCCCAUUGAAGGGAACAGUGUGGACUUGCAAGGGCUAAAUGUGUUCAAGGUACUUUAAAUACCAGACAAGACAAGAUGACAAGUGGUUUCUGCUAGUUGGCACCUAUAUCAUUCUGUAGGUCAAAAACUACCCGUGCACUUUCUAUGAAAAUCAACGUUUAGGAGUGACCAUAUUAACCAUUUGCUCAAUUAAGACUGUAUUACAGGUUAAGCAUCUUAUGCCUUGUUUUGAAUAUGUUGAUUUGAUGUCAGUGUAUGCGUCUGGCUUGUCCAAAGAAGUUUUUAAUGGGAAGAUACGGUUGCAUACAAAAUCCUUGCCUUCACAACUUUGGAUGGGAGGUGGGCGGAGGAGAUGAUGACAGUCAUCAAUAUAAGAUUAGUGUGAGAACAUAUUUUUUGUCAGGCAUGAUCAUUUUCAAAGCUCUUUUAAAACUGACUGUGCGGUUUGUUAUGCAAAAUUCUUUCUUGUCCGAUAGGCUUGUCAUCAAAUUGAGUGUUAUGCUCUCCAGGAACCAUAGCAACAAAGUUUUCUAUUUUGAUUAGGAAAUUAGGAACAGUUAGGAAAUGAGGAACAAAAGUCUGAGAAUGUUCAUGCUUCUUGUUUGUUUUAAAGCUUAAUGACAAGACAAUUGGAAUUUGGGAUGUUUUAGUUCAAAAGUGGGUUAGUGGCCUUGCAUUGUGCGAAAUGCUUUUUCAUUUUAGGUUGGAACAUAAUUGAAAAGCUAUAGCUUUCAUUGGACCGCAAAGCUUUCGUGGCCGAGAGUAUCAUACUUGAUGAUGCCAAUUUCUUUCUCUUGCAGGGGAGAAUCAGUGUUGCGGAUACUGGCUCUGAAAUGAUAUAUUUGAUAGUUAGUACAUUGCUUCCCUGUACAUAGUAGCCUUAGAAGUGAAGUUUGUGUUUUCUGCUAUCAGACGGAUGAAAUUCAAGCCUAAAGACUGGAAUUGUCGUAUGAUUUAUUCACUACAUUUAGGUAGGAGUAGGACUUACUGUGGUUUUCGUGCUGGAUUGGUGAAAUCAUGGGAUAGCUUGUUUGAAUCGGAACUUCCUUAUUUUGUUUGCCCCUGUUGGACAGCUUGAAUUUGAUCUAUUUGUGUUUAAUAAACAAGGAUUAAGCAAUCUCUCAGAUGUUUGACUGUCUUGAAUGUUGUAAUCAAUAACCAGAAGAAGGUUUCAUUGAUAUUACUUCUUGAAUUUCCUUUCAUC